rnacentral:lncRNA from 1 species
AUGAGGAGCAAGAAUGCCCCCUCUCAUCCAGCCUUGUCAGGGCCAAGUGAAAGAAGCCCGGGCAGGCCUGGGGAAGCUGCCCAAGGAGCCUCAGUAGUCAAUGCUGGCAUCGUUUCUCUCUCAGCCCCGUCUCUGUCACUUUGAAGCUUUCUACUGGUUUCCUUUGAGUCCCCUCAGCUCCCCAGUCAGAUCAAGGAAGAGCUGGUUGUUGCUUUCACAGACUUCAGGGGCAAGCAGAUCUGAGUACCUCGGGGGUCAAACAGACCUGCCCCAACCACAGCGUUGAAGAGGAGAUCCAUUUCCUAAAAAUGGGGGGAGACGGCUAUUGGUGGGAUACUCUAUUCACAUCUGUCUCCACUGCAUGUCUACAGAACGGCUCCCUGUAGUCUGGGAGUAGCGUUCCCUGGCUUCUCUGAGCUUCCUGCGGUCCACGAAAGGCUGUUUCCCUUGACAGAAGCCUUUCCUCUUCUUCCAUAUCUGGUUGACUGCAUGUCCUUUGGAGCCAGCCCUCUGGACUGAGGACUUGAAUCUCUGAUUAAUCCGCCCAGUACUCAGCUCCAUGGCCUCAGUGGUGUCCACGAGACUCUUGACACGGGACCUAUUCACAAGGGAAGGCACCUCCCCACAGAUGCACCUGAAAGCCGUGGACCCUGUGAUUCUCAGGAAUUCGGCUGACUGAUGGAGCAAUCCUUCCCACACGGGUGAAGGUGGAGGACUCCCCUUGACCCAGACACACGGGUAUUCCGUGAGUUUCUUGACGGUGCCAGUUCCUCUGAAGUAUGGAUUUUACUCCUUGGUGUUGUCUGAUUAGAUAAACUCUCCAAGAUAAAGAUCCGGAUAUAUUGGCAAGGGACCUGGCUUUUAGAAAACAUAUUCCUCAGAUUUAAAGUUGUAGGCCCUCUUUUCUCUCCAGGGGAGCCAGAGAGUAGCGGAGGAGAGGUAGCAGCGCUGUCUCCCAAUUCUUCCCUCGCAGUCAGCCCCUGCAAUGUCUUCUCUACAUAGUAGCUAUGAAACUCAGUCAUUUGCCCUGCAGAAUUUUCUACACUGUGGAUUUGCCUGACUACACCCUGUGGUGCUGUUCCUCUAUCUUGUUCUGGCAAGGAAGAGCCAAGCACCGCAUGACUCUUGUAGAAGAUGGACUUUGCAGACUGCAAAAGGGGAAAGGAAAGGGGCGUGUGAUGUUUGUAGGUGCCUUGGUAGAAAGUCCCUCUUUGCCUAGAAAUUAUUUAGGCAUCCUUUUAUAAUGCUUCUGGAAGAACAGAAAGAAAAAUCUAUUUCCUGAAUGAGAUAAGGAUGCUUUUCAUUGAGUGUCAGUAUUGAACCAGCCCCAACUGAAAUGAGAAUUGUACUUGGAUGUCACUGUGGACCCACCCCCUCAGUCCUAGUAAAACCAACACAAGGGGUUGGGAUUCUCCCCGUGCCCUACUUGAAAUGAUUGCUGGUUCUUGGGUUGAGCUGGCGUUUGGUGGCCGGCACCCAUCUGCUAUUGCCCCUAGAGGAGGUGAGUAUGGUUCUGGGUCCCUGGCUGCUUGGGGCAAGGACACUG